ACGCUGGCGGCGUGCCUAAUACAUGCAAGUCGAGCGGACCAAAUCGGAGCUUGCUCUGAUUUGGUCAGCGGCGGACGGGUGAGUAACACGUGGGCAACCUGCCCGCAAGACCGGGAUAACUCCGGGAAACCGGAGCUAAUACCGGAUAACACCGAAGACCGCAUGGUCUUUGGUUGAAAGGCGGCCUUUGGCUGUCACUUGCGGGUGGGCCCGCGGCGCAUUAGCUAGUUGGUGAGGUAACGGCUCACCAAGGCGACGAUGCGUAGCCGGCCUGAGAGGGUGACCGGCCACACUGGGACUGAGACACGGCCCAGACUCCUACGGGAGGCAGCAGUAGGGAAUCUUCCGCAAUGGGCGAAAGCCUGACGGAGCGACGCCGCGUGAGCGAAGAAGGCCUUCGGGUCGUAAAGCUCUGUUGUGAGGGACGAAGGAGCGCCGUUCGAAGAGGGCGGCGCGGUGACGGUACCUCACGAGGAAGCCCCGGCUAACUACGUGCCAGCAGCCGCGGUAAUACGUAGGGGGCGAGCGUUGUCCGGAAUUAUUGGGCGUAAAGCGCGCGCAAGCGGUUCCUUAAGUCUGAUGUGAAAGCCCACGGCUCAACCGUGGAGGGUCAUUGGAAACUGGGGGACUUGAGUGCAGGAGAGGAGAGCGGAAUUCCACGUGUAGCGGUGAAAUGCGUAGAGAUGUGGAGGAACACCAGUGGCGAAGGCGGCUCUCUGGCCUGCAACUGACGCUGAGGCGCGAAAGCGUGGGGAGCAAACGGGAUUAGAUACCCUGGUAGUCCACGCCGUAAACGAUGAGUGCUAAGUGUUAGAGGGGUCACACCCUUUAGUGCUGCAGCUAACGCGAUAAGCACUCCGCCUGGGGAGUACGGCCGCAAGGCUGAAACUCAAAGGAAUUGACGGGGGCCCGCACAAGCGGUGGGGCAUGUGGUUUAAUUCGAAGCAACGCGAAGAACCUUACCAGGUCUUGACAUCCCCUGACAACCCAAGAGAUUGGGCGUUCCCCCUUCGGGGGGACAGGGUGACAGGUGGUGCAUGGUUGUCGUCAGCUCGUGUCGUGAGAUGUUGGGUUAAGUCCCGCAACGAGCGCAACCCUCGCCUCUAGUUGCCAGCACGAAGGUGGGCGCUCUAGAGGGACUGCCGGCGACAAGUCGGAGGAAGGUGGGGAUGACGUCAAAUCAUCAUGCCCCUUAUGACCUGGGCUACACACGUGCUACAAUGGGCGGUACAAAGGGUUGCGAACCCGCGAGGGGGAGCGAAUCCCAAAAAGCCGCUCUCAGUUCGGAUUGCAGGCUGCAACUCGCCUGCAUGAAGCCGGAAUCGCUAGUAAUCGCGGAUCAGCAUGCCGCGGUGAAUACGUUCCCGGGCCUUGUACACACCGCCCGUCACACCACGAGAGCUUGCAACACCCGAAGUCGGUGAGGUAACCCUUACGAGAGCCAGCCGCCGAAGGUGGGGCAAGUGAU
rnacentral:rRNA from 1 species